rnacentral:rRNA from 1 species
ACGGGGCGCAGCAGGCGCGAAAACUCCGCAAUGCGCGCAAGCGUGACGGGGCCAUCCCAAGUGCCGUCCGAUAAGGUCGGCUUUUGUCCAGCGUAAAUAACUGGACGAAUAAGGGGAGGGCAAGGCUGGUGCCAGCCGCCGCGGUAAAACCAGCUCCUCGAGUAGUCGGGAGGAUUACUGGGCCUAAAGCGUCCGUAGCCGGCCCUAUAAGUUUCCGGUCAAAACCAGCGGCCUAACCGCUGGCUUGCUGGGGGUACUAUAGGGCUUGGGAGCGUGAGAGGCCGAGGGUACUUAUAGGGUAGGGGUGAAAUCCUAUAAUCCUAUAGGGACCACCGGUGGCGAAGGCGCUCGGCUGGAACGCGUCCGACGGUGAGGGACGAAAGCCAGGGGAGCGAACCGGAUUAGAUACCCGGGUAGUCCUGGCUGUAAACGAUGCGGACUGGGUGUUAGAGUGGCUACGGGCUGCUCUAGUGCCGCAGAGAAGUCGUUAAGUCCGCCGCCUGGGGAGUACGGCCGCAAGGCUGAAACUUGAAGGAAUUGGCGGGGGAGCACCACAAGGGGUGAAGCCUGCGGUUUAAUUGGACUCAACGCCGGGAAACUUACCGGGGGCGACAGUUGGAUGAAAGCCAGGCUGAUGACCUUGCUAGACUAGCUGAGAGGAGGUGCAUGGCCGUCGCCAGUUCGUGCCGUGAGGUGUCCUGUUAAGUCAGGCAACGAACGAGAUCCCUGCGCAUAGUUGCCAGCGGACCCCUACGGGGGUGCCGGGCACACUACGCGGACCGCAGUCGAUAAGACUGAGGAAGGAGGGGGCCACGGCAGGUCAGUAUAGAGCGUUCGGUCGUGAACCGACGUUCGCUGAAGCCCCGAAUCCCCCGGGCCACACGCGGGCUGCAAUGAGGGGCACAAUGCGUUUCGACUCCGAGAGGAGGAGGUAAUCGUUAAAACCCCUCGUAGUUGGGAUCGAGCGCUGCAACUCGCGCUCGUGAACAUGGAAUCCCUAGUAACUGCGUGUCAACAUCGCGCGGUGAAUACGUCCCUGCUCCUUGCACACACCGCCCGUCGCUCCAUCCAAGUGAGGCUAGGGCGAGGCGCGAUCCGUAGGGUCGUGUCGAACCCCGGUUUCGCGAGGAGGGAGAAGUCGUAACAAGGUAGCCGU